rnacentral:rRNA from 1 species
UGGUGGAGUGAUCUGUCUGGUUAAUUCCGUUAACGAACGAGACCUUAACCUAUUAAAUAGUUACAUGUACUUUGAUAAUUUACUUCAAAUAGUACGUGGUUAACUUCUUAGAGGGACGUCUUCACGUAAAGAGUGAAUGGAAGUUUGAGGCAAAAACAA